rnacentral:rRNA from 1 species
UACGUAGGGGGCAAGCGUUGUCCGGAAUCACUGGGCGUAAAGGGUGCGUAGGCGGGUUUUUAAGUCAGGGGUGAAAUCCUGGAGCUCAACUCCAGAACUGCCUUCGAUACUGGCGAUCUCGAGUUCGGGAGAGGUGAGUGGAACUGCGAGUGUAGAGGUGAAAUUCGUAGAUAUUCGCAAGAACACCAGUGGCGAAGGCGGCUCACUGGCCCGAUACUGACGCUGAGGUGCGAAAGCUGGGGAGCAAACAGU